rnacentral:rRNA from 1 species
UACGAAGGGAGCUAGCGUUGUUCGGAAUCAUUGGGCGUAAAGGGCGCGUAGGCGGUUUUGUAAGUCGAAUGUGAAAGCCCAGGGCUCAACCUUGGAAGUGCAUCCGAAACUGCGAAACUUGAAUCCUGGAGAGGGUGGUGGAAUUCCGGGUGUAGCGGUGGAAUGCGUAGAGAUCCGGAAGAACACCGGUGGCGAAGGCGGCCCGCUGGGCUGUUGCUGACGCUGAGGCGCGACAGCGUGGGGAGCAAACAGG